AGAUCAGAUGAUGCGAAAAACUGCAACAAAAUGAUAGAUUCAUUUCUUGAUUACAUGUAUUUAAGUCUCUGAUGAUU